UUCAAUCUAUGUUGUGCUUCAUUUUUAAGAUGAGUUUCUUGAAGGAACAUUAUAUCAGCUUUAAGUGAUUUUAAGUGUGCUAAUACUUUACCUCUCUUGAUUGGUUCAUUAAUACCCUUGACAUUCCAACUACAAAAUGUAAUUCCUUCACCCCCAAUCUUCAUUUGUAAGUUUUCC